CGCAUGCCAGGUUUUUGGAACCAUCGUUCCAUCCUGUCGUCGUAGACGAUAAGUUCCUGGCCUUAUCUCCUCUUCGACGAUGUAGGGACCUUCGAAGUUGGAUGAUAGUUUAUUUAUUGGUCUAUUCCUUUCUGUUAUGCUAGCUUUCCGCGUGACGAGAGUUCAUGGCAAGAAAACUUUUUUGCGUACUUGGCGAUUGUGGUACCUCGAUACGUUUGUCUUGUACG
rnacentral:lncRNA from 1 species